UAGGGAAUCUUCCACAAUGGGCGAAAGCCUGAUGGAGCAACGCCGCGUGUGUGAUGAAGGGUUUCGGCUCGUAAAACACUGUUGUAAGAGAAGAAUGACAUUGAGAGUAACUGUUCAAUGUGUGACGGUAUCUUACCAGAAAGGAACGGCUAAAUACGUGCCUG
rnacentral:rRNA from 1 species